GAUGAACGCUAGCGAUAGGCUUAACACAUGCAAGUCGAGGGGCAGCACAAGGUAGCUUGCUAUCUGGGUGGCGACCGGCGCACGGGUGCGUAACGCGUAUGCAACUUGCCCUAUACAGGAGGAUAACCCGUCGAAAGACGGACUAAUACUGCGUAUGCUCACAACUUGGCAUCCAGUGGUGCGGCAAGAAAUUCGGUAUAGGAUAGGCAUGCGUCCCAUUAGCUUGUUGGUGAGGUAACGGCUCACCAAGGCAACGAUGGGUAGGGGAACUGAGAGGUUUAUCCCCCACACUGGUACUGAGACACGGACCAGACUCCUACGGGAGGCAGCAGUGAGGAAGAUUGGGCAAUGGGCGCGAGCCUGAACCAGCCAAGUCGCGUGAAGGAUGACUGUCUUAUGGAUUGUAAUCUUCUUUUAAACGGGAAUAACAAGAGUCACGUGUGACUCCCUGCAUGUACCGUAUGAAUAAGCAUCGGCUAACUCCGUG
rnacentral:rRNA from 1 species